AUACGAAGGGGGCUAGCGUUGCUCGGAAUUACUGGGCGUAAAGGGCGCGUAGGCGGACAGUUAAGUUGGGGGUGAAAGCCCGGGGCUCAACCUCGGAAAUGCCUUCAAUACUGGCUGUCUUGAGUACGGGAGAGGUGAGUGGAACUCCGAGUGUAGAGGUGAAAUUCGUAGAUAUUCGGAAGAACACCAGUGGCGAAGGCGACUCACUGGCCCGUUACUGACGCUGAGGCGCGAAAGCGUGGGGAGCAAACAGGAUUAGAUACCCUGGUAGUCCACGCCGUAAACGAUGAGUGCUAGUUGUCGGCAUGCAUGCAUGUCGGUGACGCAGCUAACGCAUUAAGCACUCCGCCUGGGGAGUACGGUCGCAAGAUUAAA
rnacentral:rRNA from 1 species